rnacentral:rRNA from 1 species
AUUGAACGCUGGCGGCAUGCCUUACACAUGCAAGUCGAACGGCAGCACGGGUGCUUGCACCUGGUGGCGAGUGGCGAACGGGUGUGUAAUAUAUCGGAACGUACCUUAUUGUGGGGGAUAACGCAGCGAAAGCUGUGCUAAUACCGCAUAAUCCCUAAGGGGGAAAGCGGGGACCGUAAGGCCUCGCGCAAUUAGAGCGGCCGAUACCUGAUUAGCUAGUUGGUGAGGUAAAGGCUCACCAAGGCAACGAUCAGUAGCUGGUCUGAGAGGACGAUCAGCCACACUGGGACUGAGACACGGCCCAGACUCCUACGGGAGGCAGCAGUGGGGAAUUUUGGACAAUGGGGGCAACCCUGAUCCAGCAAUGCCGCGUGAGUGAAGAAGGCCUUCGGGUUGUAAAGCUCUUUUGUCAGGGAAGAAACAGCAGCUCUAACACAGUUUGCGAAUGACGGUACCUGAAGAAUAAGCACCGGCUAACUACGUGCCAGCCACCGCCGUAA